rnacentral:rRNA from 1 species
CCUACGGGAGGCAGCAGUGAGGAAUAUUGGUCAAUGGCCGCAGGGCUGAACCAGCCAAGUCGCGUGAGGGAUGACGGUCCUAUGGAUUGUAAACCUCUUUUGUCAGGGAGCAAAGGGCGCCACGUGUGGCGCUUUGCGAGUACCUGAAGAAAAAGCAUCGGCUAACUCCGUGCCAGCAGCCGCGGUAAUACGGAGGAUGCGAGCGUUAUCCGGAUUUAUUGGGUUUAAAGGGUGCGCAGGCGGAAUGUCAAGUCAGCGGUAAAAUUUCGGGGCUCAACCCCGUCGGGCCGUUGAAACUGGCGUUCUUGAGUGAGCGAGAAGUAUGCGGAAGGCGGGGUGUAGCGGUGAAAUGCAUAGAUAUCACGAAGAACUCCGAUUGCGAAGGCAGCAUACCGGCGCUCAACUGACGCUCAUGCACGAAAGCGGGGGUAUCGAACAGGAUUAGAUACCCCGGUAGUC